rnacentral:tRNA from 2 species
GCUCCCAUAGGCUAACGGAUAGACCACAAGGUUCCGAACCUUGAGGUAGUGGUUCGAUUCCACUUGGGAGCA